AUUGAACGCUGGCGGCAGGCCUAACACAUGCAAGUCGAGCGGAUGAAGGGAGCUUGCUCCUGGAUUCAGCGGCGGACGGGUGAGUAAUGCCUAGGAAUCUGCCUGGUAGUGGGGGAUAACGUCCGGAAACGGGCGCUAAUACCGCAUACGUCCUGAGGGAGAAAGUGGGGGAUCUUCGGACCUCACGCUAUCAGAUGAGCCUAGGUCGGAUUAGCUAGUUGGUGGGGUAAAGGCCUACCAAGGCGACGAUCCUUAACUGGUCUGAGAGGAUGAUCAGUCACACUGGAACUGAGACACGGUCCAGACUCCUACGGGAGGCAGCAGUGGGGAAUAUUGGACAAUGGGCGAAAGCCUGAUCCAGCCAUGCCGCGUGUGUGAAGAAGGUCUUCGGAUUGUAAAGCACUUUAAGUUGGGAGGAAGGGCAGUAAGUUAAUACCUUGCUGUUUUGACGUUACCAACAGAGUAAGCACCGGCUAACUUCGUG
rnacentral:rRNA from 1 species